GGACUACCGGGGUAUCUAAUCCUGUUUGCUCCCCACGCUUUCGCGCCUCAGCGUCAGUUUCGGACCAGGUCGCCGCCUUCGCCACCGGUGUUCUUCCCAAUAUCUACGAAUUUCACCUCUACACUGGGAAUUCCACGACCCUCUUCCGAACUCAAGUCCAAACGUAUUGAACGCAGUCCCAAGGUUAAGCCCUGGAAUUUCACGCCCAACUGUUCAAACCGCCUACGCGCCCUUUACGCCCAGUCAUUCCGAGCAACGCUAGCCCCCUUCGUAUUACCGCGGCUGCUGGCAC
rnacentral:rRNA from 1 species